rnacentral:SRP_RNA from 1 species
GCCAGGUGUGGUGGCGUGCACCUGUAGUCCCAGCUACUCGGGAGGCUGAGGCAGUAGGAUUGCUUGAGCCCAGGUGUUUGAGGCUGCAGUGAGCUAUGAUCGGGCCCCUGCACUUCAGCCUGGGAGACAGAGUGAGACCCUGUCUCCU